rnacentral:rRNA from 1 species
UACGUAGGGUCCGAGCGUUGUCCGGAAUUAUUGGGCGUAAAGGGCUCGUAGGCGGUUCGUCACGUCGGGAGUGAAAACUCGGAGCUUAACUCCGAGCCUGCUUCCGAUACGGGCAGACUAGAGGUAGGCAGGGGAGAGCGGAACUCCUGGUGUAGCGGUGGAAUGCGCAGAUAUCAGGAAGAACACCCUGGCUAAGGCGGCUCUCUAGUACGGUACUGACGCUGAGACGCGAAAGCGUGGGGAGCGAACAGG